rnacentral:lncRNA from 1 species
ACUGGCAUGCCUUUUUUAGCUAAACUUUUGUUAUUUUAGAAUCUUUGGUCAAAUGGCCAAACAAAUACCAUUUGACAUAACAACUUCUGCUCGCAACCAUGUACGAUGGAGGUAUAACAGGGUAUCAAGACAUGCACAUAGUCACCGUGACAAUAAACAGAACUGAAAGAGCAAGAAAUACUCGUUUUCCGGAGAGAUCACAAGCUCACAAUCAUUCCAACUAGCACUAAGGACCAGCAGCGCGAGUAACCUGAACCCAUGGGUGAGUUCAUAACUGCAGCUUUUGGACAGUGAUACUUGAGCGUCUCAGAGAAACAUCCAAGUGAAAACGUCAAUUAGAAUCAGAAAAAAACACCCCAUACCAGUACAACAUAUGAGCACACGCAGGCACACAAACGAAGCCAUCAUCGUCGUCUGCGGACGCACGCCAUGGCUGGGCUUGACUGCUCCAACUUCUGUUAGACAGACCCACCAUAGGAGCGAUAGCAUAAAAGACCAUUUUAACCUGAAACCCAAUAAACAAACAGCUGAAACUUCCAUUUCGUUAUGAUGAACAAAAGAAUAUUAAAUGGAUAAAUUGGUGUAAUAGCUUCUCGGCAACCUCACAUGCUCAUUUGCCUGGUUUUCAUUUUUUUUAAAUAAUUGUUCAACGAACCUCCCCGCUUCGUGAGUUUGAACUUAUGAAUUUAUUAGAAGUGAACUUGUGUGAGACUUUCUUUGCAUAGCGUAGUACCAUUUGUUUGUUUAGUUUUUCAUACAUAGCGAACUGUCAUAUAAUUUUGAGCGAACUUUUUUGUACAUUUUUAAGUGUGAAAAAUGAACUUGUUUCCUACGCUAUUGCUGUUUUUGCAUGGUCGUCUUACGUUCCUUAUGUACUUAAACUGAUUAAAGUUUGAAGAUUUGAACUUAUGUUUUCUUAAGUAUCGACUAUGCAAAAUAUAUAAAUCCAUUAUUCUUAAGUAUAGACAAUGACAGAGGAAGAGAGGAAGGGCAGGAGUCAGGGGAGCCAGAGGAAGAUCUAUAGAAAAAUCAAAAGAUAAAUUUUGAUAAGAACGUUACAAGUUUGAAACCAUUCAAGAAUUAAAUUCCUAUGGCUAGUAGCUAUGCAGGAUUUAAGUGAACUCUCAGUAAAAGUAAUUUUCGUACUCCACAUGUAGUAAUACCAGGACUUGCUGUGACAUGUGUUCUUUAUAGUAAAUCGAGGAA